CUUCUAUGACGGCAACGUGGCCAUCUACAACCUGAAGAAGGCAAGCCCCCAGCCCAGCUACAAGAGUGGUGCUAAGUCAGGAAAGCACACAGAGCCAGUGUGGCAGGUCAAGUGGCAGAAGGAUGACAUGGACGGCAAUCGCAACUUCUUCUCUGUCUCCUCGGAUGGGCGGAUUGUUUCAUGGACUUUAGUUAAGAAUGAGCUGGUUCACAUGGAUGUCAUCAAGCUGUCAGCAGAUGAAACAACGAUGCAGGGGCCAGAGGGGC
rnacentral:lncRNA from 1 species